UUAAGCGAUACGUGAGCUGGGUUCAGAACGUCGUGAGCACAGUUCGGUCCAUAUCUAAUAUAAGUGUUAGAAUAUUGAAAUUAUUUUUUUUAGUACGAGAGGAUCAAAAAAAUUAUACCAAUGAUAUAUCAAUUAUAAAAUUUUUUUGUAAAGUUGAGUAGUUAAGUAUAAAAUUUUAAUUGUUGAAGUAAUAUAAAUAAGAAAAUUUAGUUAAAAAUAAUAUUCUAAUCAUAUAAAUGAAUAAAACAAUAAUUAGAAAAAUUAUUUUAUAGGAUUAGUAUGUAUUUAUAGUAAUAUAUUUAGUGUAUAAUUCCUAAUAAGUUGAAUAUUUAAUUAU
rnacentral:ncRNA from 1 species